UACGUAGGGUGCGAGCGUUGUCCGGAAUUAUUGGGCGUAAAGAGCUCGUAGGCGGCUUGUCGCGUCGGAUGUGAAAGCCCGGGGCUUAACCCCGGGUCUGCAUUCGAUACGGGCAGGCUAGAGUGUGAUAGGGGAGAUCGGAAUUCCUGGUGUAGCGGUGAAAUGCGCAGAUAUCAGGAGGAACACCGGUGGCGAAGGCGGAUCUCUGGGCCAUUACUGACGCUGAGGAGCGAAAGCGUGGGGAGCGAACAGG
rnacentral:rRNA from 1 species